CGAGCGAUCCCUCGGGGGUAGCGGCGGACGGGUGAGUAACGCGUGGGAACGUGCCCUGGGGUAAGGAACAACCGCUGGAAACGGCGGCUAAUACCUUAUGAUGUCUUUCGAGACCAAAGAUUUAUCGCCCUUGGAUCGGCCCGCGUUGGAUUAGGUAGUUGGUGGGGUAAUGGCCUACCAAGCCUACGAUCCAUAGCUGGUUUGAGAGGAUGACCAGCCACACUGGGACUGAGACACGGCCCAG
rnacentral:rRNA from 1 species